UAUGCUACGCUUCUAGGCAAAGUCUUUGACAAUAACACAAACUACCAAAUUGCUACCACAAACAAUCACUAUGGUCGAAGACUUUGCCUAGAAGCGUGGCAUAUAAAUAUA